ACUGCUCAGUAACACGUGGACAACCUGCCCUUAGGUUGGGUAUAAACCCGGGAAACUGGGUAUAAUACCCGAUAGGUCUCGAUUGCUGGAAUGCAUCGAGAUUUAAAGCUCCGGCGCCUAAGGAUGGGUCUGCGGCCUAUCAGGUAGUAGUGGGUGUAGCGUACCUACUAGCCUACGACGGGUACGGGUUGUGAGAGUAAGAGCCCGGAGAUGGAUUCUGAGACACGAAUCCAGGCCCUACGGGGUGCAGCAGGCGCGAAAACUUUACAAUGCUGGCAACAGCGAUAAGGGAACCUCGAGUGCCAGGUUACAAAUCUGGCUGUCGAGAUGCCUAAAAAGCAUUUCAUAGCAAGGGCCGGGCAAGACCGGUGCCAGCCGCCGCGGUAACACCGGCGGCUCGAGUGGUAACCGUUAUUAUUGGGUCUAAAGGGUCUGUAGCCGGCCGGAUAAGUCUCUUGAGAAAUCUGGCAGCUUAACUGUCAGGCUUUCAGGAGAUACUGUCUGGCUCGAGGCCGGGAGAGGUGAGAGGUACUUCAGGGGUAGGGGUGAAAUCUUGUAAUCCUUGAAGGACCACCAGUGGCGAAGGCGUCUCACCAGAACGGACCUGACGGCAAGGGACGAAAGCUAGGGGCACGAACCGGAUUAGAUACCCGGGUAGUCCUAGCCGUAAACGAUACUCGCUAGGUGUCGGCCACGGUGCGACCGUUGUCGGUGCCGUAGGGAAGCCGUGAAGCGAGCCACCUGGGAAGUACGGCCGCAAGGCUGAAACUUAAAGGAAUUGGCGGGGGAGCAC
rnacentral:rRNA from 1 species